GGAGGAAUGGCCGAGUGGUCGAAGGCGGCGGUCUUGAAAACCGUUAGGGGGGCAACUCCCUCGUGGGUUCGAAUCCUACUUCCUCCGCCA
rnacentral:tRNA from 1 species